CCCUUAGAUGUCCUGGGCCGCACGCGCGCUACACUGAUGCAUGCAACGAGUUUAUAACCUUGGCCUGAAAGGUCUGGGUAAUCUUUUGAACGUGCAUCGUGAUAGGGAUAGAUUAUUGCAAUUGUUAAUCUUGAACGAGGAAUUCCUAGUAAACGCGAGUCAUCAGCUCGCAUUGAUUACGUCCCUGCCCUUUGUACACACCGCCCGUCGCACCUACCGAUUGAAUGGUUCGGUGAAGAUCUCGGACUUCGAUAUUUAUUCUUUAUUGAGUUUAUAUUGUGGGAAGUUAUCGAAACCUCAUCAUUUAGAGGAAGGUGAAGUCGUAACA
rnacentral:rRNA from 1 species